AUGUGGGGUGACCAGUGGUGCUCUUGGUCUGGACAGAGCCCCCAGCUGUUGGGAUGCGGCCUUUGGAGAAUGACUGCAGAAACACUGGGAGCUGCUAAGGAGAGUCCUGGGAGAUGCUUGGGUCAAAGGGAGCUGUGGGGAGCCCCCCAGCCCCCCAAGUCCUUGUGCUUCAUGGGAAGACCCAAAUGCUGAAGGGCUCCCAUGCUGUGCUUCCCCAUGUGCUGGACAUCCUCCCAGUGCGUGAAUUCCCCAGCGUGUGGGUGCGGGAGGGGGGUGGUGCAGAUUGUGCUGAGGGAUGUGGUUAAUGGUAAUGGGUUGGCGGUUGGAUUUGAUUUUCCAUGGUUCUGUGAUUUGCUGCUCCUGUCUGCCUGGCGCAGGAAGAUAAAAGCUGCCGUUGCAAAAACGCUGUGACUUCCAAAGGUGCCCAAAGCACAGCACAUCUUGGUGGAGUGUGCUGCUUGACGAGUCUGGCUUCCUAGCAGUGCUGGGGGUGCCCUCAUCCUGUCCUUCACCAGCAGUUAGAAACCUGCACAGGGGGCAGCAUGCAGAUGGGGGAGUGGUGGUGGUGGAAUCCCCACCUUGAUGCUUGUUGUAUUGCUCUGAUGUGAAGGAUGCUGGUGGGGGCUGCUGGGGCUGUGUGAAUCCAGCCCUGCCUGCUGUGCAGGAAGCAGAGGCAGGCUCCUCUGUGCAAAGCAUCUGCAGCAAUGUCCUUUGCUGACAGUAUGCAUCAAAUCUGAUGUGCCUUGGGGAGAAGAGGUGGGAAAAGGAGAGAGAAGCAGGAGAAGCUGUAGCGGGCAGCUGGAGAAGCGUGGGGCUCCCAGAGCGUGCCCUCCUGUGGGCUGCUGGUCAGGUGCUGCUGGUGAAUAUCACACCUCAAAACACCUCUGCACCUCCCCCCAAACACUUGGCUAUUCCCAAGAUGAGCUCAGGUUCCAUUUUGGAGCAUAUGAUGCUACUAGGGGUGGUUGGAAGGUGCCUAAUUAAGUUUGGCUGUUGUGUAUUAGCUGGUGGUUCAGCUUUGUGCAUGUGUGGUGUUGGACAGCAUUUAUCAUAAUACCUUCUACUGCUUUGUGCAUUUAUUGCGAUGCCUUUCACCCCUUUGUACCCCCCAGGCUGUGGUUGUACUCUAUAACACAGACCCAAAGCUGUGAGGGGAAGGAUCUCGGCCCAGAUCUGCAAUGCAAAAAGGUGGAGGAGGUAUGAGGCUGAAGGUGGAGGACCCUCCUGCUUUGGGUUCCUGAAGUUUGGAAGAAGUGCAAUUAGAAUGAACUAACACAAAGGAAGAUGCAAUAACAGAGGUAUGUUGAACACAAUACAGGCAUGAGAAUCAAUGCAUGCAUGAAGAGCGCUUUGCUGCGGACUCAGAACUGGAGCGCAGUUGGAAAGCAGAACUCUGCAGCCACUUUAAGAAAUCCAGUUGGAAAAUAAGACUAAGUAAACAUUUACUCGAGCCUGGGCUGGCUGCAUGCAUGACUGCAGUGGGAAUUCUUCACACUGCCCUGUUAAUGCUCUCAUCUGCUGGGUUAAUGCACGCCGGCAGCGGGAGGAGCUGCGGGCUGAGCCCCUCCAGGUGCUUUUGGAGCCUCUCUGUUAAACACCACUCCUGCUUUUUAAUGAACCCAACUUCCAAUGCAAAUUAGAUUCCAAAUAAUAAGUAAUUAACUUUAUCAAAUUGACAUUACCAUUUAUAACAAAAUGUCAACACUGCCUUUAUAAACAAGGCAGGGCUGCUAUUUGCGGAGUUGGCGGGGGGAG
ensembl:lncRNA